GACGAACGCUGGCGGCGUGCUUAACACAUGCAAGUCGAACGGAAAGGCCUGCUUUCCCUUGUGGAUUGCGGGUACUCGAGUGGCGAACGGGUGAGUAACACGUGAGUGAUCUGCCCCCAACUUGGGUAUAAGCCUGGGAAACUGGGUCUAAUUCCCGAUAGGACUGCAGGGUGGUGCCUGUGGUGGAAAACGAUUUUCUAGUGGUUGGGGAUGAGCUCGCGGCCUAUCAGCUUGUUGGUGGGGUAAUGGCCUACCAAGGCGGCGACGGGUAGCCGGCCUGAGAGGGUGGACGGCCACAUUGGGACUGAGAUACGGCCCAGACGCCUACGGGAGGCAGCAGUGGGGAAUAAUGGACAAUGGGCGGAAGCCUGAUGCAGCGACGCCGCGUGGGGGAUGACGGCCUUCGGGUUGUAAACUCCUUUCGACCGCGAGGAAGCCACCUGGUUGGAAGGGUGGUGACGGUAGUGGUAGAAGAAGCACCGGCUAACUACGUG
rnacentral:rRNA from 1 species